UUUCCCCUCCCUCUGACCAGCCGGGAAAGCGGGGGCUGACCCUACGGAAUGUUAGGGUCCGGCGAAAGAGGGAUGCUCUUACUCUGCCACCUUCCCAACCUCUCUCCCACUCUCCCUCUCUCCCUCUCCCUCCCUCUCUCUCUCUCUAUUUCUCUCUCUCUCUCUCUCUCUCUCUCUCUCUCUCUCUCUCUCUCUCUCUCUCUCUCUCUCUCUCUCUCUCUCUCUCUCUCUCUCUCUCUCUCUCUCUCUCUCUCUCUCUCUCUCUCUCUCUCUCUCUCUCUCUCUCUCUCUCUCUCUCUCUCUCUCCUCGUCCACCCUCCAUCAUUCAUUUUCUCUGUCUCUUCCACAGCUUCUCUUUAUCUGACUCGCCCCCUCCCAUCAAAACCACUUUCUCUUUAUUUCCCUUCGACAAUCUCCCUUUCCUACUUUUCUUCCCUCCCUUCCCCCCACUUUCUCUUUCUUCUUUCCUCCCACUUUCCCAUUCCAAUCUCCCUUUAUUUUCUUCCGCACUCUUUGUCUCCUUCCUUCUCCCUUUCUCUCUGUCUCCCUUUCUGUCUCUAUUUCUCUCUGUCUCUUUCUAUCCCUCUGUCUCUGUAUGUGUUUUGUUUUUUUUCCCUCUCUCAUAUACAAGCAUACUCACGUCUACCUAGUUUAAGGGGAGAAAGUGACUUCAGGACAAGCCCUCACCCCAUAACUAAGGGGACACAAUGAAAACAGCACAGCCGGAGUCCGAUUUAAAUUAGAGAGAAAGAGACCUCUCCACCCCACUUUCAUCUCCAUUUCCCCACACCACAGAGGAGUUUGUCUGGUUAUUAAGAAGAACUAAGUGAUGGAGCAACUAAGUGGAGGAGUUUAUAAUUGAAAGUGAGAAGACAACACACAAAAGAAAACUGAAAGCGAGUUAAGGGGAAGAGCAUGAAAAAGAAGCCAAAAUAAAAUCUGAGUACUUCCAGAAGCAUAAAGGAUGAGAACCUGAGAACUGACACACUAUUCCAGUUUUCUGAGCCCUAGCUGAUUGGCUGCUUCUUGCCUAUGACCUCAAGAUGUGAAACCAAUUAGGUCUAAUUCUUUCUAUAAAAACAGCUGAAUUGUUCUGGUCCAGCAGUUGCCUUGAGAGUUUCCUGAUACCCUCAAGGAAUAUUGGAUUUGUCUAGCAAUUCUGCAAAUGAUUCUGGACCCUACUCAUAGGAGGAUGUCCCUUGUAUUUUAGUUCCACUUAACAACAAUCAGCCACAAUAGCUUUUACAAGUAAUAUUUGUUUCAAACGAUUUGAUAGUAAAUAUACAAAUGGUUUAGCUCACUUCCUAUAGACUACAGUUCCAAUUCCAAGUACCAAACCCCUCUCUGGCUCAAAUACCAGGCACCUCAGCUUCACUGCUGGGCUGAAUGGUUGCAAUAUUUCACCUACAAUCCUACUUCCAAUGUGGUCAUUGCUUGAACUCCUAGUACGUGGGAAUCUCCACCUGCACUGACACAAAAGACAAAUGAAACUUCAUAUGACAGACAUCCUAGACAUAAGGUAGGAAAGAGAGGAGGGGUAGUAAAGAAGCCACCAGUUCAGCUUAUGGUAUGGGUGAAUUGUGAUCUUCACCCUCUAGUUGGCAGCAAGAAAGAGUGGGUAGGAAAGAGAGAUGAUCCCAGUCUGUAAGUUUUAAAAGAUGCAGCCUGUUCUAGCUCCAAAGCCAAUUGAAGGGGGCUAUUCCCAGUCAUGUGGUAGGAGAAGACAAGAUGCAGAUACAGGAUGCCUCUAUGUUAGGUAAUAUGGGCAUACUCUAAUCCCUAUUACACUAUCAACUUCUCCAGAAACUUAAAAGGAUUCAUCAGUUCAUCUGUUUAUCAACCCUGAGCUCCCAGAUGACCAAAUACUGUAUCCUCACAGCAGUCCUUUGCUGACUCAAUAACCUAUGGAAACAUCAUGGCAUUAUACUGGCUCAGCAAGAGCAGGUCUCAAUCCAUCCCCAGGAAACUGACAUGCUCACAAAUAACCCACUACUAAUGCCUUGGCUGAUAGGGAAAAAAGUUUUGAAUUUAUUGCAUACAGAAGAGCUCAGUUCCUAAAACCCAGAGCAUAGUACUAAAACAAAAAUGUACAAAAAACCUUACCAGCAGAAAUUAGACCAAAUAAUAAUUAUAUUGCUAACAAAUACAAUAAUAAAAACAAAGAUAAUAAUAUAUAACAAUGAUAAAUAAUUAGCACUUCUCUAGUACUUUAAGACUUACAAAGCACUUUAAUAGAUCAUCUCAUUUGACCAUCACAACACUGAGGUAGGUGCUACUAUUAACCUCAUUUUAUAGGUGAGGAAAGUGAGGUUAAAUGACUUUUAUAAGGCCAUACUUCUAAAAAGUAUAAGAGAUGAGAUUUAAAUUCAGGUCUUUCUGACUCUAAGUCAAAUAUGUUAUGUUCUACACUGCCUUUUGACAGAAGGACAAUAAUUGAUUUCAGGGACAGGUUGGAUAAAAGGCUCCAGUUAGCUUCAGGACUAUGAACCCACCUGAUAAAUCCUCUGGUCAUGGAAUAGAGCUCCCAGACUUUCUUGCUCAAAGCUUUGUCUAGGCUUAUCUUCAAGAGUUUCAAGUCCACUGAGUAAAGAUGUCUUACGCAAUAGUUUGACUCUUUAGGAACACAAUUGAGUAAUACUGAUGGCUAGAAGUGAAUGGCUUAAAAUACCCAUUUUCAAGAAUUAAAAAAUACCCAUUAAAUCUCUACUUUUAAUCUAUGGUUGCAUGCUUACUCACUUCCCAACUCCUAGUUGGGGCAGAAUAGUUGCUCUCCACCAGGGCUUAGACUUCUCAGAAAUUUCUGAGAAUUUGUAAAAUCACAGAAUCUUAGCACUGGGAGGUACCUCUGAGGUCAUCUAGUCAAAACAGAGAUACUCUUAAAACAUCCCUUACAAGAGAGAAAGAAGACACAAUAAACAACUAACAGGAGAACACACUUUGGUGCCAGAAAUGGCAAUGAUCUAGAGAGAUCAUUUUCAUAUCUAUGCUGAAAUAAAACAUAGCCCAUAUUAGCCUCUGGAAUGAGGAUAUUUCUGACAUGUCAGGUUAUGGUUACUGCUACCAUCAUCUGUUCCCACAAACCCCUGCUGUAAUUAUUGUAAUAAUAUGACUGAUAAUAGAAUACUCACCAUCAGUUCUGUCUACUACUGUCAGCUUCCCACAAAAUUAGAAGAGAUUCUUUACAUUCUUGUUCUCUCCCAUGGAGAUACCUGUCAUCUUGCAUUAUAGGUAAUACACAUAAAAACUUUAAAGGUUUGCCCUCCAGUAAAGAAAAAAAUAUCCUUGUAAGUCUUUCAGCAUGAAUAUAAUUCUUCUCAAAUCAAUCCCUAGAGAAAGGGGCCAAUUGACAUUUAUUAAGGAACUACGAAUCUUUCAUUCCUGGCAGAGUUAGCAUGAGCAGUGGCAAUGUGCAAAUCAAUCAAUUAUAUAUACACAAUUAAUACCCUCUAGCUGUAAUUAUCUUUGUAGAUCUUAGCAGGUAUAGCAGGUAUAGACAGGUUAGGGGAUGGUAGGGGAAGGGCCAGAAGAUAUUUUAUUAUAUAUAAUUAAAUAUGGAAAGAAACAGAAUUACUGAGAAUCCUCAAAAUUCUGAGUAGGAUCUUAGGAAUCAUCUUGUCUAAUCCCCUUAUUUUACAAAUAUAGAAACAGACCCAGAGAGGGGAAAAUGAAUUUAUCAAAGUUACUGUGGUAGUCAAGUAAGAGGGGAUUUGAAUUUGUAUCUUCUAACUACAAAUCUAAUCUUUUCACUAUUCCAUUCAAGGUAGUAAAACAAAGACAAUAGCAAUAUAAUUCCAUUGUUUCAAAGGAGUUUUAAAUGAAAACAAUAACAAUAAUCAUAAUAAUACUAAUUCUAACUGAUAUUUAUAGAGCAAAAUGCUUUAUAUAUUUAAU